rnacentral:rRNA from 1 species
CAGUAGCCGCGGUAAUACGUAGGGUGCAAGCGUUAAUCGGAAUUACUGGGCGUAAAGCGUGCGCAGGCGGUUUUGUAAGUCUGUCGUGAAAUCCCCGGGCUCAACCUGGGAAUGGCGAUGGAGACUGCAAGGCUAGAAUCUGGCAGAGGGGGGUAGAAUUCCACGUGUAGCAGUGAAAUGCGUAGAUAUGUGGAGGAACACCGAUGGCGAAGGCAGCCCCCUGGGCUAAGAUUGACGCUCAUGCACGAAAGCGUGGGGAGCAAACAGGAUUAGAUACCCCUGUAGUCCCUGUCUCUUAUAC